rnacentral:tRNA from 1 species
AGCUAUGUGGCUCAGUGGCAGAGCAGUUGCCUAGCAUGUGAAAGACCCUGGGUUCUAUCCCCAGCACUGCAA